rnacentral:rRNA from 1 species
AAGCAGUUGACACAGAUGAUUUGAUUGACACGGAACAAUAGUUAGGGGCUCGAUGACGAGCAGACACCGUCGUAGUCGUAGCUCGAAACUAUGCCGAAUAGGGAUCGGACGAUGUUAUUCUUUGUCGCGGUCGGCACCUUUCGAGAGAUCAAAGUGCUUGGGCGCCAGGUGGAGUAUGGUCGCAAUGCUGAGACUUAAAGAAAUUGACGGAAGGGCACCACCAGGGGUGGAACCUGCGGCUUAAUUUGACUCAACACGGGGAAACUCACCAGGUCCAGACACAGUGAGGAUUGACAGAUUG